rnacentral:rRNA from 1 species
GGGGAAUUUUGGACAAUGGGGGCAACCCUGAUCCAGCCAUGCCGCGUGAGUGAAGAAGGCCUUCGGGUUGUAAAGCUCUUUCGGCCGGGAAGAAAUCGCACAGGCUAAUACUCUGUGUGGAUGACGGUACCGGCAUAAGAAGCACCGGCUAACUACGUGCCAGCAGCCGCGGUAAUACGUAGGGUGCGAGCGUUAAUCGGAAUUACUGGGCGUAAAGCGUGCGCAGGCGGUUAGAUAAGUUUGAUGUGAAAUCCCCGGGCUCAACCUGGGAACUGCAUUGAAGACUGUCUGACUAGAGUACGGCAGAGGGGGGUGGAAUUCCACGUGUAGCAGUGAAAUGCGUAGAGAUGUGGAGGAACACCGAUGGCGAAGGCAGCCCCCUGGGUCGAUACUGACGCUCAUGCACGAAAGCGUGGGGAGCAAAC